UGGAACAUUUGAGAAGUCGCAGCUCUGCAUCAUCAUUUUCCAGCAGCAGCACAGAUGGUACCUUUCCAUUCGUAACAUGUGCCAACAUAGUCGGUGUGUCCCAGUGGUCGGCCCCACCUCCACCACAAUUCCAAGUUCAUAAGGAAGAGGGCACAUUGGUUAUCAUCCUGGUGGCACGGAAGAUUUAAAAGGCAUUUUAAUGAACGUCAUCUCAGUUGAUCUUCCCAAGUGUCCUGUCAAGGUCCAGGUCAAAUGCUUCUUGGGUGAAGAAGAUACCCAGUCAGAAUUGGCCACUCUCACUUCUGUGUUUCCAAGACCAUUGCUACAGCUCUACUUGGAUGACCACUUAAACUUGAUUUUGCUUUUUCACGGUUUUCCCCACCAGAGAGCAUUCUUUGUCAUUUAUCUUUCUAUCCUGGAAGGAUAGUUGAUGACUUCUAUGGUACAUUCAUCUGUUGGACUGAGUUGAAUCACCACCACUGUACAGUCAUGGUUCACUUAUUAGCUGUGUCAGUUUGAACAAACUGUAUCUCGGAAUCUCAGCUUUCUUGUCUACUCUCUGGGGACAAUAAAGAAUACAGCCAGAGAGCAUGAGCAUCUACUUUGUUCCAUUUAUUCAACAUUGAUAACAUCAACCAUCAGGUGUGUGUGAUUAUUAGCUCCUUUUUCCAAGUGAAAAAAUUGGGCAGACAGGAUUUAGGCAAUUUGUCUAAAGUCUUUGGGUGGGGGGACACCACAACCAGAAUGCAAGUAGCCUGAAGUCAGAAUCCAUACUGUAUAUAUAUCACUCUACUACUUAGGUUUGCAGAGAGGAUGAAUCAAAUCUAUAUUUGUUACUAUGUAAGUAAUGUGCUUAGAAUAACAUUUUGCCUGUGGGACUAGCCUAGGUGUCCAUCAGGGCA